rnacentral:misc_RNA from 1 species
UUAUAAUACCAUUGCGAAUUUACGCCUACUACUUGCUCGUUAUCUAUGCGGUGGGCUAUGCGUGCUUUCACACACACACACCACACACACACACUGUGCCCACUGUUAAUACAUACAAUUUGUUAAUGAUCCUUCCGCAGGUUCACCUACGGAAA